rnacentral:rRNA from 1 species
GACGAACGCUGGCGGCGUGCUUAACACAUGCAAGUCGAACGGAAAGGCCCUGCUUUUGUGGGGUGCUCGAGUGGCGAACGGGUGAGUAACACGUGAGUAACCUGCCCUUGACUUUGGGAUAACUUCAGGCAACUGGGGCUAAUACCGGAUAGGAGCUCCUGCUGCAUGGUGGGGGUUGGAAAGUUUCGGCGGUUGGGGAUGGACUCGCGGCUUAUCAGCUUGUUGGUGGGGUAGUGGCUUACCAAGGCUUUGACGGGUAGCCGGCCUGAGAGGGUGACCGGCCACAUUGGGACUGAGAUACGGCCCAGACUCCUACGGGAGGCAGCAGUGGGGAAUAUUGCACAAUGGGCGGAAGCCUGAUGCAGCAACGCCGCGUGCGGGAUGACGGCCUUCGGGUUGUAAACCGCUUUCGCCUGUGACGAAGCGUGAGUGACGGUAAUGGGUAGAGAAGCACCGGCUAACUACGUG